UACGUAGGGUGCAAGCGUUAAUCGGAAUUACUGGGCGUAAAGCGUGCGCAGGCGGUUUUGUAAGUCAGAUGUGAAAUCCCCGGGCUUAACCUGGGAACUGCGUUUGAAACUACAAGGCUAGAGUGUGGCAGAGGGGGGUGGAAUUCCACGUGUAGCAGUGAAAUGCGUAGAGAUGUGGAGGAACACCGAUGGCCGGAAGGCAGCCCCCUGGGUUAACACUGACGCUCAGGCACGAAAGCGUGGGGAGCAAACAGG
rnacentral:rRNA from 1 species